AGAUGAGAAAGAAAUGGAGUACGUGUGAACACAAUUCAAUAGCCCCUUUAGUGAAAAAAAUUUCCACAGGUUGCCACUGUAAUACAGCAUAUCAAUAUUCUUUCCUGAUGAAACAAGCUGGGGAUACAGAGUUAAGCCUCUAUUAGGAAACAGAGAGGCUCAACAGAUCCAUUAUGGAUUUUAUUUUCCAGCUUGAUUAUCCUGAGCUCUUGGGAGUGCUACCAUGACCAGCGCUGCAUGAAUGAAGUUCUUGUCCUUCCCUUUUAACAAUCUGGACACAUUCUGACUUCUAGAUUGUUUCAUAGACUAUUUUACAGUCCCACUUUGCAUUUUAAAUGGAAAAAUCCCUGGGUAAUUAUGCAUCUCUCUCCUUAAGACAUGUGAAUAACCACUUCAAGGACUUUGUUCUCUCUAACUUUUAGUGGGAUGGAAACUAUGUCCUUAUUUUCUUUUGAAAAGAUGCCAGCAUAUUGAGCAGGAUGGAAACAACAAACAUACUGGAUUUAACAAUGUUACAUGUGGAGAUAACAAUUAGGCUCUUGCUGGCUGCAAAGGUUGAGCAACAACGAGGAUGAGACAGGAGAUGCUGGCACAGAGCUCUUUACCUACGGACACUAGCCAUUGCUCUCACCUUCCUCCCAAGGCCUGUAUCCCCCAGAGCUCAAGAUUCUCUGAGGCAGGAAGUGUCUGGGGACUCUGGCUAACUUAACAGAAAAGACCUGGAGAUGCUGACAUCAGAGACAAUAGCUUGGAAAAACGGAGGCCAUGCAGGAAGAAGAAAACUGGGGGGAAAAAAACUCAACCUUCUAUUAACAUUUUCAAAGAUCUAGGAGAAUAUUUUAUA
rnacentral:lncRNA from 1 species